CGAGAAACCCUGUCUCAGAAACAAAACAAAACAAAACAAAAAAGAUUCAAUUCCGUUGUGGUGGGGAAGGCAGAGUAAAGUGUUUCAGUCCAUAGUAGCAGUAUCAUGUGGCAAAAACCAAGCUGUUCACAUCAUGGUCGUCCAGGGAUUAGAGGGUGACCAGGACCAAGGACUAUGCUAUAAUCAUCUAAAGCUUGCCCUUAGCAAUCUGCUUCUUCCAGGUAGGCUCCAUUUUUUCUGAAGUUUCCAUAGCCUUCCAAAAUAGCACCACCAUGCAGAGACCAAACAUUAAAGAUAUCAAUCUGUGGGGGACAUUUCAAAUCACAACAGUAGAAUUUAUCCUGAUGACCUAGCACUUCCCAACCUAAGUGGGAAGGUCUCACCUUCCCCUUAAAGGUUAGAAUUUUAAUAUAUAAAUUUUCUAGGAAUACACUCCAGAGCUAUAAUCAAUAGCAUUAUAUUGAGAAAACUAUAAAGUGGAACUAUAAUAUUAAAAAAGAAAUUACCUAAGCAAAAGUCCAUGUUGUUACAGUUAGUCCUGCAAAUACUAAUAUCCUAGGAGCAAAUAUUAGGCAGUAAGUAUAUAUACAUGUAGUAUGUAUGUAAAAAGUAUAUGUAUAAAUGUGUACCUCUUGUUAUUUUUUCUGAGUAUUCAUGCCCAGAAUUCAUACUGAGGACUGAAGUUUGGGUCUUAAACAUGCUAAGCACAAGUUCUACCACAAGUUCUACAGUGCCACUCCAAGCAGUCAUAUUCAAAGGACAUCAUAGUGUCACCAUCAGUGUUCACAUUCUCAGCUAGCUAGUAUGUUUCUAAACAUUGGCUUCUUGUACAGAUUAUUAUCAAAAUGUUAAUUCACCAGUUUUCUCCAUAACUUUGUUUCAGGAAGUGGUGAACACUUGAUGAACCAUUGGAUAGCAUAAAAAGCAAGCCUUCCAAGAGUAAAGCCCAUUCACUUCUCAUUGCUUUACUUUUGCAGGUAUACUGAAAAAUACUGUGGCUCAGAAUCCCCAGGCCAGAGAACUCACUGCUAUUUCAGAUGAUUAUCCAUCUCCUUCUUGGAAUGUGUAGCUCUAACUCACAGUUCUUAUCCCAGAAGGUGAAAUGAGAUGGUAGAAGUAAUUCAUGUCGAGCCCUGUGAGACUGCAUAGCAUACUUUUCUCAGUGAAUAAAGAAUUGAAAAGAAGAUAUUCAGUCUUUCAUUGAUGAUCACAAAACAACUGUCACAUGCCAGGUGUGUUAGAUGCAUGGCAGUCAGAACAGAGUGAAGGAAAGCAUGGUCCCAGCAAGGUGGAAUCCAGCUCUCUUCUGUUCAGAGGAACAAUGCGCCCAGGCUGCUUCCAACAGAUAAAAGGAAGGGGACUUAAUAGCAGGCCUAGAUUUAAUGAUGGUUAUGACCUUAAGCUGCUUCCUUUGAGGUGCUCUUUAAAGCCAGCUUCUGUGGUCUUGCAAUGGAGACUAGAAACCCGUGGCUCUCCAGGAAUCCUGUAGAUCUUCAUCACCAGAUUGAGAUGACUGAGACACCUAGCCUCAUGGACUAAGCAGGGAAUAUUUCAUCACACUUACCAGCCCACAGGGAGAGGAUAGAUGCAUCAAACUGCUGAAAUCACCAAGGAGAUGAAUUAAGUGCCUGAAGGGACUUAUUCUGCAGAAUCUCCAUGACUGGGGCAACAACAGGAUAUCUAAGAGGAGUUUUGAUGAGGGCCCAGUGGUGAUGGUGUGCCAGAGGCCUUGAACCAGACCAAUGACCCACGCAAUGAACAUUUUGCUGAUGGAACUGAUUGGACAAAAGGGGUACACUACAACUUUCGAUUCUACUAAGAUGAAUGAAGAGGCUCCCAGCUCCAACUUUUCAGAUGUAUUUUUCUUAAAUUCAUUGAGGUGGGAAGAGCCACCCGAAAAGUUCCACCAUGCCAUGAACUGCUGUCCUGGAUAGAACACAAUGGGGAAAGUGUAUGAAGCACAAGCAGUCAGUACCACCUUUUCCUUACUGCGGAUGCAGUACGGCCAACUGCUCCAAGCUCCUGACAUGAGGUACUUUUGGACGAAAAUGUGUUUGUGCUAUGAACCUGACUAAGUUUAGGACAGAAACACAUCUUCAGGUGUGUUUGCCAGAAGAUUUACAGAAACUUGACAUCCUAGGGACCCACCUUGAAUGUGAGCAGUCCAACCCCAUGGCUCCAGGUUCCUGAGACCAAACAAAAAGAAGAAAUCAAGCAGAGCAUCAACAUUUGGUCUGCUCAGCUUCCUGACUCCAGACACCAUGUGAUAGGCUGCCCCAGACUCCUGGAGCUUUGCCUUCAUGGUCAUGACACGCCUUCAAACUACAAGCAAAAACAAACUCUUCCUCAAACUGCUUUUGCUAGGUGUUUUGACACAGCGAUGAGAAAAGGAACCAAUGUGCCAGCUCAGGGACUUUGGUGCACAGGGGCUUUGUGGGGGAAGGCAGAGAGUAUUUGGUGGGUGUGAUAAUCUCUGCUCCUUCUGCUUUUGCUGUGAACCUGAAGCUGCUUUAAAGCUAACAUCUACAGAUCAAGUCACCUGUAUAAAGUUUAUAUCAAUUAUCUGUCUCAUCUCUGAGUCAAGGACAUGAAUUCAGGGAGUCAGAGUGACUACAGAGAAUGGGUGUAGAAGUUUCCAGAACAGCAUGAACCACUGAGGUUGUACUCGGUCUUCACAUGGCCUUAUAGGAUUCCAGCCAGUCCUCAGGGAGGAAUUGACAGUAGAGAUGUUUAAAUGAAUUCAGCCUCAAAUAUAAUAAUCUGGAAUCCUGAAACCGCUAUGUACAGCACUGUGUUCCUCAAUGGGCCAUUCAUAUUUCUGGGUGUGUGACUGCUCAUGGUAGGGCCACUAGGGUUCCUGAGUCUGCCUCUUGAGCUGGAACAAAAGUAUCCGGGCUGGAAGAUGCUGGCUGGAUUUCACAAGCUACUUCUAGGCUAAUAUUUAUGAUUCCUGCUGUCAGUUAACUCAGCAGGGUCACAAGUGCAGCCCAGGAAGAGCAAUGCAACUGGGAGAGGCUCAACAGGAAGAGAAGCCCAAAGAGCAUCACGUAUUCUGAGUAAUCUCACUCAGUUUUAUUCCUGUUGUGUUUGGUUUAUCCGCAAUAAUUGAUGUAUUAAUCACAGAACUAAUUCAGUGUGCAGAAUUGUAAUUUUAAUAAGGCCUCCAUUUAAUCUCUUUUAAAAAGAUUAAUAUAGUAGCAGA